GCGUAAGAAUCUACCUUUAGGAGGGGGAAAACAACUGGAAACGGUUGCUAACACCCCAUAUGCUGAGGAGUAAAAUACAUUGUGCCUAGAGAUGAGCUUGCGUCUGAUUAGUUAGUUGGUAAGGUAAUUGCUUCCCAAGACUAUGAUCAGUAGCUGGUCUGAGAGGAUGAUCAGCCACACUGGGACUGAGACACGGCCCAGACUCCUACGGGAGGCAGCAGUGAGGAAUUUUCCGCAAUGGGCGAAAGCCUGACGGAGCAAUGCCGCGUGGAGGAUGAAAGCCUAUGGGUUGUAAACUCC
rnacentral:rRNA from 1 species